GGAAAUAUCCACCAGGGAGAGGCGCGAACCCUAGCCGACACUAUGACACUAGCAGGCGGCUUAACAACCGCAGAGACCGUGCCGACCAAUGGGAGAAGCGCUACCAUUCAAACUGGUUUCGUGUCCUUUCUCCAGAUUGGUUGGCAAAACAUCUCCCCCUCCCUGAAUGCUGAUUGGCCGCUGCAUGUUCGCGCCCUUUCUCCCGAUUGGCUGCCGCUUUCACUGGCCUAAACCAAGUGAUCUUGUGCAACGGUUUUCGGGUAUGUACAGAGCCAUAGAAAUCAUUGUGUAAAGUUUGGGCUCGAGGCUCUGUACAUACUCACAUACUUUGUAAAAGCGGUGGCCAACUGGGAGAAAGGGCGCGAACACAUAGCGGCCAAUCAGCAUUCAGGAAAGGGAGGUGUUUUGCCGGCCAAUCGGGAGAAAGGGUGCAAACAAGCAGCGGCCAAUCAGCAUUCAGGAAGGGGAGGUGUUUUGCCAGCCAAUCGGGAGAAAUGGUGCGAACAAGCAGUAGCCAAUCAGCAUUCAGGGAGGGGAGGUGUUUUGCAGACCAAUCGGGAGAAAGGGCACAAAACCAAUUUGAAUGGUAGCGCUUCUCCCAUUGGUCGGCACGGUCUCUGCGGUUGUAAAGCCGCCUGCUAAUUUCAUAGAGUCGGGUAGGGCUUGCGCCUCUCCGUGGUGGAUAUCUCUAUGUGGGUAGCACCAGGGAAAGCGUUCUUUGAGGUAGGCAAGCUGGGACAAAGGGGUGGCGGGGAGCGGGAGGGCUGCACUCUGUUGGGGAACAUAGUCAUAUUGACACAGUUCGUUACAAUGCCAUACAAAUGUUUCUCUAUGUCUAUAGAAAAGCCUGAC